AUUGAACGCUGGCGGCAGGCCUAACACAUGCAAGUCGAGCGGAUGAAGGGAGCUUGCUCCUGGAUUCAGCGGCGGACGGGUGAGUAAUGCCUAGGAAUCUGCCUGGUAGUGGGGGAUAACGUCCGGAAACGGGCGCUAAUACCGCAUACGUCCUGAGGGAGAAAGUGGGGGAUCUUCGGACCUCACGCUAUCAGAUGAGCCUAGGUCGGAUUAGCUAGUUGGUGGGGUAAAGGCCUACCAAGGCGACGAUCCGUAACUGGUCUGAGAGGAUGAUCAGUCACACUGGAACUGAGACACGGUCCAGACUCCUACGGGAGGCAGCAGUGGGGAAUAUUGGACAAUGGGCGAAAGCCUGAUCCAGCCAUGCCGCGUGUGUGAAGAAGGUCUUCGGAUUGUAAAGCACUUUAAGUUGGGAGGAAGGGCAGUAAGUUAAUACCUUGCUGUUUUGAGGUUACCAACAGAAUAAGCACCGGCUAACUUCGUG
rnacentral:rRNA from 1 species